AGAGCUGGCUCUGCUUCUUUUUAGUUCUGGGACUUGGGCAAGUCAUUUAAUAAGGCUUAAGAGUAUUUAAUCAUUGGGUUAUCUUGAGAAUUUGGGGAGGCCAUGUUUAUGGAGAGUCCCUUGGUGGGAAGGGUUAUUGGGAACCAUUUUGGGUACAUUGAAAGCUAAAGCAAGUUGGAAAUUUAUUUGCUUGUUUAUUUUUCAAGCAUGAAGUCUGAAUGAAAAAAAAUUAUGUUGAGCCCCAGUGGUGCCAGGCCAUAGCUUUGUGCUGGGUAUUUGCAGGUACUUAUUUAGAAAGACAUUCAGUGUUUGCUUCUAAGGAGCUCAUGGCUUAAGAGCAAGUAGAAUAUGUGAAGAAAUGUGAAGGAUGCUUUGCUUGGUUGAGGAGU
rnacentral:lncRNA from 1 species